rnacentral:lncRNA from 1 species
UACAUUUAGCAUGAGAUUUACAUAAUCAAAUCUUUUGAUAAUAUUGGAAAAUGGUUUAUCUGAUACCUAAUAGUUAAGAUAUUUCCUCUAAUGAACAUGCCUUCACCAUUAUAACAAAUUUUCACCGUGCAAUGCCGACAUUGAUUUUUUGGUAUUUUGGCACACUCUGUCCUAUUGUGUAGCGAUAGAAAUGUUUCACAUCUCUCGGAUAGAUCGGUUGAAGAAGAAGUGAGCUUUUUUUAAAUUACGAUUUAUAAGCAAUAGUAUAUUUGUUGCUGUCUUUUUCUAUAUAAAUGUUACCAACAUACACGUAACAUUUAUGUAUGUGCAUAAAUUUUUUUACUUUAUCUUUAUCAUUUUAUUUGAAUUACUACAUUAUAAGCAAGAAAGUUUGACUGAAAAUACAAAUAAUGUUGUACAUCAUGCAGAUAGCUUGGGCAUGCAACAUACAAGUAUGAAUGUUUGACUGGAAAUAUAAAUGAUGUUGUACAUCAUGCAGAUAGCUUGGGCGAAAAAAAAAUUUAAAGUCAUUAAACUGCUCUUUGAAAUAAACCUUUAACAUUACAACCUACAAAAGCAGAUCAAAAUCUAUGCCGAUGACAGCAAAAUCAUAGGAGUUAUCGAUAAUGAUGAUGAUAUAAAAUCUUUACAAACAGACAUAGACAGCACAGUAGCCUGGUCACUCGAGUGGCAAAUGAGUCUAAAUCUAGAUAAAUGCAAAGCAAUACAUGUUGGAAAAGCUAAAAAUAAAUCUACGCAACUGUAUACGAUGACAGGCAGAAAUGGAAUUGCACAUAAUCUAGAAACAACUACACUUGAGCGAGACCUAGGAGUUCUAGUAUCCAACGACUUGAAAGUUUGUCAACAAGUCGAAUCAGCUUCAGAAAGGGCUAACAGCAUGUUAGGUAGACUCAAAAAAGCUUUCCGCAGUCGAGAGUUAGUACUAUGGAAACCCUAUACACAACGUACGUGAAACCGCGCUUGGAAUUCGCAAUUCAAGCGUGUUCUCCCCAUCUCAGGAAAGAUAUCGAAAAACUCGAACAAGUUUAGCACAGGGCAACUAAACUCAUCACAGAAAUCAAAAAUGAUUUGUACGAAACUCGUCUUCACAAAUUCGGUAUUACAACACUAGAACCCGUAGGACAAGGGGAGAUCUCAUUCAAAAUUUCAGAAUACAAAACGGGUUCGAAGUAGUUUCGUUUUUUCAUAAACAACAACUUGCACUAUCUCUAUCAACGUACAAUUUACGUGGCCAUAACCAACGAUUGGAAAGACAAAACGUGAAUAAUUGUGAAGAAAGAGCUCAUUUCUUCACUAACAGAGUAGUAAACCCUUGGAACGCACUCGCGCCGAAUGCGAUCAGGGCUCAAUCCGUAAAUGCCUUUUAAGAUCAUAUAGAUGGAAAAAGAGCAUCUUUGGUCAUUUUAUUAAAUGACCUUUCAGCAUCGAGGGGAUUGGUUAUCACCUUUUCAUAAAAUAUUAUGACAUUUUUUUUAAAAACAAAAACUCUACUAAUCAA